GUGAAUCAUCAAAUUGUUGAACGCAAAUUGCACUCCCUGGUAUUCCGGAGAGUAUGCCUGUUUGAGGGUCAGUUUAAAUAAAAAUCGGUUUGGUCGCUGAAUUUCGUGGUUACGCACCGGAUGUAGGUUGUCUUGCUUUCGGUUAAGUGACCUAAAAUUUUGCAUGAUUUUUCGAACGUAUUUAAAUGAUUUUACUUACGUUUGCGAUAUCUACUAAUAGGUUCGUUCAUACUCAUUGUU
rnacentral:misc_RNA from 1 species